GGACUACACGGGUAUCUAAUCCUGUUCGCUCCCCACGCUUUCGCUCCUCAGCGUCAAUGCCGGCCCAGACCACCGCCUUCGCUGCUGGUGUUCCUCCUGAUAUCUGCGCAUUUCACCGCUACACCAGGAAUUCCGUGGUCCCCUACCGCAUUCUAGUCAUGACAGUAUCGAGUGGCGGCUCCAGGUUAAGCCUGGAGGUUUCACACCCGACUAAUCAAACCGCCUACGAGCUCUUUACGCCCAAUAAAUCCGGAUAACGCUUGCACCCUACGUAUUACCGCGGCGGCUGGCAC
rnacentral:rRNA from 1 species